CCAGGCAUAAGGAUAUUUCAGUCUGAGAAAGUUACUGCUUUUGUUGACUUCUGCUGUCCCUGAGGGCUUUGCAACCCUGGAUCCUUGCCUGAGAGGUUUAUCAGGAAGCGCAAAGGCUGAAGCCUAUGCGUUGGCAAAGGGGCUCCUGCUUGGCCAUUCUUGCACUGGAACAUGUGUAUUCUCCCCAGAAACUUUGAGGCGUCUUUGAUUUGUACUGGUGCAG
rnacentral:lncRNA from 1 species